UUGAAAUAUUAAAGAAAAUCAAGGAAAACCUGGAGCUAAUCCGAACGCUGCCCACGGAUGCCAAUGUGUUGCGCAACCUGCAGCAACAACAAUACGUGACGGAAUUGCGUGGCAGGCCGUCCAACCUCAGCCGACACGGCAGCGAGUGUUCACAGGAAGUCUUGGCCGGCAGCCAGGGACCCUCCAGUGCGGGCGAAGGUUCCUCAUCAGGCGUUGCACAGGAUGUUGUGACGGGUGAAGCGAGUGGAUCCAAUGGUCCCCCACGGCCACCGGACGGAGACAACCCACGGGCCCGGCUUGGAACCCUGCCGGACAGCGGCAAGCCUGGCAACGCUCUUUACAA